AAGCGCCGUAUACCGAACGGUACGUACGGUGCUGUGAGAGGACGGCGGUUAGUCACCGCCUCCUACUCGAU
rfam:[Eubacterium rectale] ATCC 33656 chromosome, complete genome.